GAUGAACGCUGGCGGCGUGCUUAACACAUGCAAGUCGAACGAUGAAGCCCAGCUUGCUGGGUGGAUUAGUGGCGAACGGGUGAGUAACACGUGAGUAACCUGCCCUUAACUCUGGGAUAAGCCUGGGAAACUGGGUCUAAUACCGGAUAGGAGCGCCUACCGCAUGGUGGGUGUUGGAAAGAUUUAUCGGUUUUGGAUGGACUCGCGGCCUAUCAGCUUGUUGGUGAGGUAAUGGCUCACCAAGGCGACGACGGGUAGCCGGCCUGAGAGGGUGACCGGCCACACUGGGACUGAGACACGGCCCAGACUCCUACGGGAGGCAGCAGUGGGGUAUAUUGCACAAUGGGCGAAAGCCUGAUGCAGCGACGCCGCGUGAGGGAUGACGGCCUUCGGGUUGUAAACCUCUUUCAGUAGGGAAGAAGCGAAAGUGACGGUACCUGCAGAAGAAGCACCGGCUAACUACGUGCCAGCAGCCGCGGUAAUACGUAGGGUGCGAGCGUUAUCCGGAAUUAUUGGGCGUAAAGAGCUCGUAGGCGGUUUGUCGCGUCUGUCGUGAAAGUCCGGGGCUUAACCCCGGAUCUGCGGUGGGUACGGGCAGACUAGAGUGCAGUAGGGGAGACUGGAAUUCCUGGUGUAGCGGUGGAAUGCGCAGAUAUCAGGAGGAACACCGAUGGCGAAGGCAGGUCUCUGGGCUGUAACUGACGCUGAGGAGCGAAAGCAUGGGGAGCGAACAGGAUUAGAUACCCUGGUAGUCCAUGCCGUAAACGUUGGGCACUAGGUGUGGGGACCAUUCCACGGUUUCCGCGCCGCAGCUAACGCAUUAAGUGCCCCGCCUGGGGAGUACGGCCGCAAGGCCAAAACUCAAAGGAAUCGACGGGGGCCCGCACAAGCGGCGGAGCAUGCGGAUUAAUUCGAUGCAACGCGAAGAACCUUACCAAGGCUUGACAUGUUCUCGAUCGCCGUAGAGAUACGGUUUCCCCUUUGGGGCGGGUUCACAGGUGGUGCAUGGUUGUCGUCAGCUCGUGUCGUGAGAUGUUGGGUUAAGUCCCGCAACGAGCGCAACCCUCGUUCCAUGUUGCCAGCACGUAAUGGUGGGGACUCAUGGGAGACUGCCGGGGUCAACUCGGAGGAAGGUGAGGACGACGUCAAAUCAUCAUGCCCCUUAUGUCUUGGGCUUCACGCAUGCUACAAUGGCCGGUACAAUGGGUUGCGAUACUGUGAGGUGGAGCUAAUCCCAAAAAGCCGGUCUCAGUUCGGAUUGGGGUCUGCAACUCGACCCCAUGAAGUCGGAGUCGCUAGUAAUCGCAGAUCAGCAACGCUGCGGUGAAUACGUUCCCGGGCCU
rnacentral:rRNA from 1 species